rfam:Candidatus Korarchaeum cryptofilum OPF8, complete genome.
GCGAGCGGCCAUAGCGGCCAGGGACACACCCGGACCCAUUCCGAACCCGGAAGUUAAGCCUGGCCGCGUUCCGUGGAGUACUGAGCUCCCCAAGGGCUCGGGAAACACGGAAGCUGCUAAGC